rnacentral:rRNA from 1 species
UAGAGUUUGAUCAUGGCUCAGGAUGAACGCUAGCGACAGGCUUAACACAUGCAAGUCGAGGGGCAGCGGGGAGGUAGCAAUACUUCCGCCGGCGACCGGCGCACGGGUGAGUAACACGUAUGGAACCUGCCCGUAGCAGGGGGAUAAACGGAAGAAAUUCCGUCUAAUACCGCGUAAUAACUCCGAGAGGCAUCUCAUGGAGUUUAAAGGGUAACACCGGCUACGGAUGGCCAUGCGGCGCAUUAGCUAGUUGGCGGGGUAACGGCCCACCAAGGCGACGAUGCGUAGGGGUUCUGAGAGGAAGGUCCCCCACACUGGUACUGAGACACGGACCAGACUCCUACGGGAGGCAGCAGUGAGGAAUAUUGGUCAAUGGGCGCGAGCCUGAACCAGCCAAGUCGCGUGAGGGAAGACGGUCCUAUGGAUUGUAAACCUCUUUUGUCGGGGAGCAAAAGACGCCACGCGUGGCGUUCCGAGAGUACCCGAAGAAAAAGCAUCGGCUAACUCCGUGCCAGCAGCCGCGGUAAUACGGAGGAUGCGAGCGUUAUCCGGAUUUAUUGGGUUUAAAGGGUGCGCAGGCGGAAGAUCAAGUCAGCGGUAAAAUUGAGAGGCUCAACCUCUUCGAGCCGUUGAAACUGGUUUUCUUGAGUGAGCGAGAAGUAUGCGGAAUGCGUGGUGUAGCGGUGAAAUGCAUAGAUAUCACGCAGAACUCCGAUUGCGAAGGCAGCAUACCGGCGCUCAACUGACGCUCAUGCACGAAAGUGUGGGUAUCGAACAGGAUUAGAUACCCUGGUAGUCCACACGGUAAACGAUGAAUACUAAUUGUUCGGGGAGAAUGAUCCCUGAGUGAUACAGCGAAAGCGUUAAGUAUUCCACCUGGGGAGUACGCCGGCAACGGUGAAACUCAAAGGAAUUGACGGGGGCCCGCACAAGCGGAGGAACAUGUGGUUUAAUUCGAUGAUACGCGAGGAACCUUACCCGGGCUCAAACGACACAGGAAUACUUUUGAAAGGAGGUAGCUCUACGGAGUCUGUGUCGAGGUGCUGCAUGGUUGUCGUCAGCUCGUGCCGUGAGGUGUCGGCUUAAGUGCCAUAACGAGCGCAACCCCCAUCGCCAGUUACCAGCAAGUCAAGUUGGGGACUCUGGCGAGACUGCCGGCGCAAGCUGUGAGGAAGGCGGGGAUGACGUCAAAUCAGCACGGCCCUUACGUCCGGGGCGACACACGUGUUACAAUGGCAGGUACAGAGAGAAGCAAUGCGGCGACGCAAAGCGGAACUUGAAAGCCUGUCUCAGUUCGGAUUGGAGUCUGCAACUCGACUCCAUGAAGCUGGAUUCGCUAGUAAUCGCGCAUCAGCCAUGGCGCGGUGAAUACGUUCCCGGGCCUUGUACACACCGCCCGUCAAGCCAUGGAAGCCGGGAGUGCCUGAAGUGAGCAACCGCAAGGAGCGCCCUAAGGUAAAACUGGUGACUGGGGCUAAGUCGUAACAAGGUAGCCGUA